rnacentral:rRNA from 1 species
GAGGAACACGGGCCACAUUUUAGGAAUGCUCAAGUGGGUCGGAGCUGUGCUGAAGAAAAUGGCAGAGCUCGGUUAUUGCAAUGAAAACAUUUACCUCCGUGAAAGUAUAGGAGAUAGAAAGCUCACUUGGCGCUAUAGAGAAAGAACCGUAAGGGAAUGAUGAAAGAUGACCAAAAGUACAAGACAGCAGAGUUUACCCCUUUUACCUUUAGCAUAAUGAUUUAACUAGAACAAGUUAGCAAAGAGAUCUUAAGUUAACUGCCCCGAAACCAGACGAGCUACCUACAAACAGCUUCACAGAGCAAACCCAUCUAUGUGGCAAAAUAGUGGGAAGAUUUGUAGUUAGAGGUGAAAAGCCUACCGAGCCUGGUGAUAGCUGGUUGUCCAGAAUAGAAUAUUAGUUCAAAUUUAAAUCUUACCUGAAAAAACCAACAAUUCCAAUGUAAGUUUAAAAGCUAGUCUAGAGGGGUACAGCCCACUAGACACAGGGUACAACCUUUAUUAGAGAGUAAGCCACGAUCAACACCAUAGUUGGCCUAAAAGCAGCCACCAAUUAAGAAAGCGUUAAAGCUCAACAAACCCACAACCUUAAUCCCCAAAACAACGAGCCAACUCCUAACGUACACAACUGGACUAUUCUAUUAUUAAAUAGAAGCAACACUGUUAAUAUGAGUAACAAGAACUAGUUCUCCUAGCACAAGUUUAUAUCAGAACGGAUGCCCCACUGAUAGUUAACAACAAACGCACACACAACCCAAAGCCAGGACCGUGCCACCAAAACAAGUUGUUAGUCCAACACAGGAGUGCAGUAAGGAAAGAUUAAAAGAAGUAAAAGGAACUCGGCAAACACAAACCCCGCCUGUUUACCAAAAACAUCACCUCUAGCAUUCUAAGUAUUAGAGGCACUGCCUGCCCAGUGACAUCCGUUCAACGGCCGCGGUAUCCUGACCGUGCAAAGGUAGCAUAAUCACUUGUUCCCUAAAUAGGGACUUGUAUGAAUGGCCACACGAGGGUUUUACUGUCUCUUACUUCCAAUCAGUGAAAUUGACCUUCCCGUGAAGAGGCGGGAAUGCUUAAACAAGACGAGAAGACCCUAUGGAGCUUUAAUUAACUGACCCAAUAAAGACAUAUUACUACCCACCCAGGGUCCAACUCCCCUUUAUAUGGGCCAGCAAUUUAGGUUGGGGUGACCUCGGAGCACAAAAAAACCUCCGAGUGAUUAAAGUCUAGACUAACCAGUCGAAACAUAACAUCACUUAUUGAUCCAAAAUUUGAUCAACGGAACAAGUUACCCUAGGGAUAACAGCGCAAUCCUAUUUAAGAGUUCAUAUCGACAAUUAGGGUUUACGACCUCGAUGUUGGAUCAGGACAUCCCAAUGGUGCAACAGCUAUUAACGGUUCGUUUGUUCAACGAUUAAAGUCCUACGUGAUCUGAGUUCAGACCGGAGUAAUCCAGGUCGGUUUCUAUCUGUUCUAAGCUCCUCCCAGUCCGGAAAACAACAGAAGCAAGGCCUAUCCACUAUAAGCGCCUUUACGGUGAAAGAUGAUUUAAUCCUAAUGCGAGUAACUGCGAAAUAGAGCCGCCUGUA